rnacentral:rRNA from 1 species
GAUGAACGCUGGCGGCGUGCCUAAUACAUGCAAGUCGAGCGAACGGACGAGAAGCUUGCUUCUCUGAUGCUAGCGGCGGACGGGUGAGUAACACGUGGAUAACCUACCUAUAAGACUGGGAUAACUUCGGGAAACCGGAGCUAAUACCGGAUAAUAUUUUGAACCGCAUGGUUCAAAAGUGAAAGACGGUCUUGCUGUCACUUAUAGAUGGAUCCGCGCUGCAUUAGCUAGUUGGUAAGGUAACGGCCUACCAAGGCAACGAUGCAUAGCCGACCUGAGAGGGUGAUCGGCCACACUGGAACUGAGACACGGUCCAGACUCCUACGGGAGGCAGCAGUAGGGAAUCUUCCGCAAUGGGCGAAAGCCUGACGGAGCAACGCCGCGUGAGUGAUGAAGGUCUUCGGAUCGUAAAACUCUGUUAUUAGGGAAGAACAUAUGUGUAAGUAACUGUGCACAUCUUGACGGUACCUAAUCAGAAAGCCACGGCUAACUACGUG